rnacentral:lncRNA from 1 species
UUUUUUUUUUUUUUUUUUUUUUUUGCUUUUUAGGACUGCACCCGCAGCAUAUGGAGGUUCCCAGAGGUCGAAUUGGAGCUACAGCUUCUGGCCUGUGGCACAGCCACAGCAAUGCCAGAUCUGAGCCACAUCUGCGACCUACAUCGCAGCUCACAACAAUGCCAGAUCCUUAACCACUGAGUGAGGCCAGGGAUCAAACCCACAACCUCAUGGUUCUUAGUCAGAUUUGUUUCUGCUGCACUGCGAUGGGAACUCCAUGAGUCUUUUUAUUUUAAAAAUUCCGGAAGUAUCUCUGAUCUUCCUUUGCCACUUGCUUACUGGGUAGAUCUAGUGAAACAAAGUAAGCCAAACUUUUUGUAAGCUAUUCAGCGCUAUAAACAGUUAACAUAUGGGCUAGUGAUUCUUAGAUGUGAAUGUUCAUGAAAACCAUCUCUUGGAGUAUGUUAAAAAUGCAAAGUCCUGGGACCUGCUGCCAGUGAUUAUGCUUCUGUGGAUUUGGAACAUAGAAAUAGGAUGUUAUAUAAAAAAAUAUGAUCAUUACAAUAGCUUGUGAAAUUUUGUCAUAAAAAUGCCCAUAAGAUGUCUUUCAGAGACUGGUUUUAACCUUUUAAAUAAGUGAAGAUGAAAACAGUAACACUUGGUGUCAGGAAAUGACUGUUCUUAUAUAUCAUUGAUAUGAGUAUAAACUUGGAACCACCUUUCUAGAGGAUAGUUGGGAAAUGUCUAUUAAGGUAUAGAAAUACCCUUCCCCUUUAAUCUAGCAGUUCCACUUCUUAGAUUUUUUUGAGAUGAAAAUGCUACAUGUACUCAAUCACAUGUGCAGAAAUAUCCAUUGAAUAGUUCUUAUGAAAGGAAGCGUAUACUAGGCAACUUAAAUAUACAACUCUAAGGAAUUAUAUAAAUGAAUUAUGUUAUAUCUACAUUAUGAAGAAUUAUGCAGACAUUAAAAUGUGGAUAUAGAACUAUGUUUUUAUUUACCUAAAGGUGUCUAUGAUAUGUGGCUAAUUGAAAAAGGUAUAUAAAACAUGUAUAAAAUGAACUAAUUAAAAGGUAUAUAUGUCUAGAAAGAUAAUCUGAUCAUUUAAGAUGGUAAAUGGUUUCCUCUGGAUGAUGGAAUUGAGUUUUCUUAUUAAUAAGAAAAAUUUACAAAUUUUUAUGAACAGAGAAAUGAAAGAAAGCAACUUUCUGCCUUUAAAAGGAAAAAAUAUUUACAGGACUUAUAUUAUUGAUUAAUAUAAUUAUUUUCUCUCAUACUUGGUAUCUGUAGUUCCUUUUGCCCCCAUUCUGCUAAGCAUAAUAGUUAUUAGAUUUGUUUUCUUCUUAGGCUCUUAUAAGACUAAUUUGCAUGUUGUGGCUACAGAUGCCAAGAAGGUUCCUGCACCCUCCUCAAUUUUUUAAUUGAAUUCUUAUGAUGAAUUGCAACAUCAGCAGUUUCAGACCAUUUUCUAUAACUAAGGCAUAGUCACCAUGAUAUAGUGUACUUUUACUUAUUGCUACGUGUCUUGUUUGUUUUGUAUUGUACUUGCCUAACUUUAUAACCAUAUAUAAAAAUUUGGCUAAUGAAGGGAGAAAUAAAUUAUUUUUAUUUUUCUGAUGUCUUAGCUAUUAUCAGGGAGAGGAAAAUCAUUGGGUAUACUUCUACGCCUGUCACCUAAGCAAAUAUUACUUUUAGAAGGGAAAAACCAGCCUCUGUUUAAGCUAACAAUUUUUAUGGGGAAUGUUUGUGAGUGUGCGUGUGGGUGCAUGUGUAGAAGCAUUAAAAGGGUGAUGACUACUAGGAAGCAUUAAUGAAAAAUUGAUUUACUAAACUUAUUCUCAGGAAGUCUGGAUUUAAGUUCUGGCUUAGUAUAUUUGCUACAUAGGAAAAUUGUUUGCAGUCUCAAAAGUUCUGUUUCCUUAUUGACAAAAUGGAGCUGAUUAUUCCCAUAUUAGCUACAAGGCUUGGGACAUGAUUCAAUCAAAUACUACCCUGUCCUUCCUCCAUUCGUUUGUUCUACAAAUGUAUUGAGCACCUACUUUAGAUGGGGCACUAAUCUAGCACAAGUGGACAAAGUUCCUGAUCCCUUGGAGCUCACAUUCCAGUGUGUAGAGAUGAAGGAUGAAAAAUAAGCCUAAUAAAUAGUAAAUUUUUAUUGUUAAAAAAUGCUAACCCUCAUCUGGGCCUUCAGCAAGUUGUAAUCUUUUUCGCAAUGGUAAAAUCAAAGAUCACUGACCACAGAUCACUAUGAUAAAUAUAAUAAUGAGAAAGUUUGAAGAGUUAUAAAGAUUACAAAAUGUGAUGCAGAGAUGUGAAGUGAGCAAGAAUGUAUACAUUUUAACAUCAUUUGUCUAGAAAUUAAAUGAGGUGUCUUAGUUUUUAGUUUGAUUUCAUUAAAGCCCUUGGAAAAAAAUCAAGUUUCAAGGUCAGUAAAGACUGCCUUUGUUUCUCCUUUGACAGCGCAGCUAGCACAUGAUCUGGGUGAUUCAGUGUUGCCCUUGCUUAUUUCAGAGAUUGAGAAGUCAUUUUCAACUCCGCCCUCUUUCUGUCCUCUCUGUGCUUUAUAAACCACCAUGUCUUGUCCAUUGUGUUUUCGAAUGGUAUCUCUCAUCUGUUUACUUCUCCACUGUUAGCCUCACAGUCCUAGAUAUCAUCAGUUUUUCUUGUACUGCACAUAUCCUCAUCCAUUCUCUACUUAGCCAUCAGAGAAUUUUGUGCCGACGCAGGUCUCAUCAAAUCACACCCAUGUGUAAAACCCUUCAGUGAUGUCUUCUGUCGUUUAUUCUCCUCAGGCCCCUGUCCAUUCUCUGCACUGCUCUGUAUCUCAGAAGGUACAGACUGCAUCACUGGCACUCCUUUGACUUCUAACUUUCCAUUGAAGAUGUUAUACUUCUCUUUGCACCUAGGAUGAAGUAUGCAAUCCGUGACACUGAUGAUAAUCUGCAAGGAAGGCCCUCCACAAUCUAACUAAUCUCCUCAGAACAACUUGGCUCUUUUCCUUACUCUGGCUCUGAUAGUUGCCCUUCAGUUCCUUAAAGACCCCAGGCCCCUCCUCUCUCCUUGGGUUCAUACAUCUCAUUCCUUAUGACUGAACCACUUCUCCUCUAUUUCCCUUCCCCUUCACUUGUCUUGCCCUUGGUUAUCAGGAAUCCCUCAGUUUUAAUGUCUCUUACUCAGAGAAAGCUUUCCUGGUUAUACAUUUCCAUUUCUCAUUAAAUUUUUUUUUUUUGGAAACAGGCAGCAUGACUGUAUAUAAAUAUUCAUGUCAUUAUUUGCAUGAUGUUUCUUUUCUCUGCUAGAUUCCAGGCUUCAUGAGGUCAAAGAUAGGAAAAUUUUUGUUUGUCUUUUAAAUCUUGACCUCAGAUGCAGUAUUUGGUAAAUACAGAGCACUUACUAACUGCCUGGUAAAUGCAUUCUGAAAGUGAAGGGGGCUUCACAGGUAGUUUUCAAUAAUUACCAAGGAAAUUUUAAGGUGUUAAUGUUGGGUGAGACCCAGGAGCAGAAAUAGAAUACAGUAUUAGAAGAAGAACUUGAACUAGAGCCUGGGUGUGUACAUUAUUUCCUGUGCUAAAAUUGAUGCCCAUGAACCUGGUGGUGUUACAUUAGACACUGAGAACCACAUGCUAAAGAAAAUAAUGUCAGUAGGCAUUUUUUUUUUUUCAGUUUUAAAUUGAAAGAAUAUGUAAUUUUUUUUGUUGCGUAUCCUUAUUAUAAGUGACUGGAAUUACUGACGUCUUUUUCUUGACUUUAAUUAAGAGCAGUUUUAUUUAACAAAUGGAAAUGAGGGAGGGAAAGUUUGAUACCAUACAUGUGGAUGAAGACAAAAAGAAUGACUUUGAAAAUAUUUGAAAAACAAUCUAUAAAGCUGUAUUAUAAAUGAUUCUUGCUAUUAAAAAUUCCAAUUAUUUUUUAAAAGAUUAACUUUGGUUGUUAACCCUCUCAGUGAAACCUGACCUUUAAACAAGACAAUUUGGUUUUGCCAGUAGUGAACUACUCUGUUAUAUGCAUUCAUUUUUCUUUUUUUUGGUCUUUUUAGGGUCACACCUGUGGCGCAUGGAAAUUCUCAGGCUAAGGGUUGAAUCGGAGCUAUAGCUGCUGCCCAUGCCACAGCCACAGUAAUGCCAGAUCACAGUAACAUGGGAUCCGAGCUGCAUCUACCACCCCACCACAGCUCAUGGCAAUGCCGGAUCCUUAACCCACUGAGCAAGGCCAAGGAUCAAACCUGCAUCCUCCUGGAUACUAGUUGGGUUAGCUACCUCUAAGCCUUGAUGGGAACUCCUGCCUUAAGUAUUUUAAAAUCUGACCUUUUAUAUUUUUGUCAUUAGGAAACUUUACUUAUUUUCUACAAGAAAAUAAAAAUCUAUUUAUCUCAGUAUUGUACCUUAGUUUUAUGUCAUUGAGUCAUAUUUAAUUGUGCCCUGAGAUGGUACAUGAAUAGCCAUUUCAGAAGUAAACAGAUAUGUUAUUGAAAUACAUAUGGUAUUCUAAGUAUUUCAGAUUCAUAGAGCUGAAUGGAACUUAUUUUUAACUUUAUGAAGAAAUAGUCUUUGAUAGACAUUUUUAAUGCUGCUUCUAUUCCAAAAUAAGUUUUGUGGCUGUAACAUUCUAGAAAUAGAUGUGUUCGAUGGAAAUGUUGACAGAUUCUUAUUUGAAAGCAAUGAAUGAAGCCACCUAGAAAUUUAGUGACCUCUCUUUCAAUGAAUGGCUAUUCAUAUUUAUUAUUAUCAAGCCUAAUAAUAAUCAGUUUUAAAGUACCAGCUGGGUACUGUAUGGCAUCUGAUGUGCUCUCAGUCUAAUGGGUCCACUCCUAAGCACCAUGGUUCAGCACACUCAAGCCAGUGCACACCAGAAUAUGAUGCAGCUUUGAGCCUUUACCCUUUCUACAAGUUAAUAUGUGAUAGGUCAGGACAUACAUGUAAUAGACCUUUUUUUUGCAUUGUGUCGUUCUUGGCACUGCAAAGGAAGGUAAUUUGUGUAAGACUUUUAUUGUGAAAUGGAAACUACAAAACAUACUUCUAAAAGAGAUGAUAUCUAAUACUCUUUUAUUUUUUGGCCAGAAAUGAUUCUGAAUUGAGUAGAAAA